rnacentral:lncRNA from 1 species
UCAGGUGAUGAGGAACCCCUCGCGCACCCAGCGCAGAAGGCUGCUGCCGCCGGACGCCUCCAUUGUUUGACCACAACAAGGGCCGGAUUCUCACCCAGACCUGCAAAUCCAAGAGACACAUCUUUGGAAGAUAAGAGAGCUUCUUCAAGACCAAAAAAGGUUUGAGACGGCAUGAUACCCAUGUAGGGAAUUCCCCAAAGCAGGGCUUGCCAUACCUGGACCCCGAGGAGCCUGCUUGCUGGAAAGGCUUUCCUGUCUGAUGUGCAGGAGGCAGAAUGCCAAACUGACUCUUCAAGGGGCAACUGCAGGGGCUCGAGACCAGCCAGCAGUAUCUCAUCCUUCGAUACAGGGGAUAUACUGUACAGUCCUUUUUCUAGAAGUGAGACAUACAAGAUUACUCUACAAGAGGAAGAUUCCAGGGGCUCAAAAACGCAAAGGUUUGCACUUUGAGAGCCCCUUGGAAUGUUGACAACUCAGGAUCUAAAACAAAGUUCUGUGUUAAUGAGUUACAGAAUUCACGUGGAAGUCAAUGUCACUUUAUAAUCGAUAAUAAUACUGAGUGAGGAACACUAUGCAGGAAGAAACCUUCCGUAGAAAGACAGGCAGGGAAAAGCUUAGGCUGACCUUAAACUUACCUAAUAGAGCAAGCCUGAGAUAGACUGCCAAAAUGGCCAAAUAAGAGACUCUAUGAAAUAACAGUCUUGUAACUGUAGUAAUCAUAAGGAAAUUUUCUCCUUGAAAUCACGAUACCAAAUAGG